GGGACAUUGUGCUGACCCAGUCUCCAGCCUCCUUGGCCGUGUCUCCAGGACAGAGGGCCACCAUCACCUGCAGAGCCAGUGAGAGUGUCAGUUUCUUGGGAAUAAACUUAAUUCACUGGUAUCAGCAGAAACCAGGACAACCUCCUAAACUCCUGAUUUACCAAGCAUCCAAUAAAGACACUGGGGUCCCAGCCAGGUUCAGCGGCAGUGGGUCUGGGACCGAUUUCACCCUCACAAUUAAUCCUGUGGAAGCUAAUGAUACUGCAAAUUAUUACUGUCUGCAGAGUAAGAAUUUUCC
rnacentral:lncRNA from 1 species